UAGAGCAUAGCUUAAACCAAAGCAUUUCGCUUACACCGAAAAAAUGCCUGUUAAACCCAGACCUACUCUAAG
rnacentral:tRNA from 1 species